GGCCGACCGGGCCUAAAGAGGAGUUCGCGGUCCGGGUACCAGCGCUCUGUGGCCAGGAGGAAAAUGGAUGCAAUGGCUGGAAUUCCAAUGCCAUAUUGGACUACAAGGAUCCUUGAGGCAUGGAAGCCAUGCAUACCAGGCCCGAAGACUGAAGGAGCCUGCGUCUCCAGUGCUUGGAGUACAGGCCUUUCCCAGGUGGCCAUCCUCAGACUUUUCAUUGUAAGAGAAAAAAACAACUCACUUUGAGGCCAUUA